rnacentral:lncRNA from 1 species
CCCCAACAUUUUUUAAAGCUCUCCAGGCUUUUUUUUUCUUCAGGUACUGCACAAAAAUCCUCAUCAAAACUGAGUUAAAAACAGCAACUCUUUGCCCUCAUAUUUCUGUCAGCUGCUCACCUGGGAGUGACUCUGGUCUCGCCUGCAAGCACUCAUCUGUUCAAGUCAUCUGUCAUGGGACAGCUUACCUGAGGCCAAACGUCUAAGAAGAUAGCAAAACAAGACAGAAAAACAACUCCGAAUGGCAGUUUUUGAACAAUUCACUGGAAGUUGUGGAACAGAAGGUAGUGAAUUUGGAUUAAUCAGCUGGCUGAGCACAGCUUUCCAAGUGCUUUCUGUGGCCAAGGAAGAAGAAAACCCCGUGGGAUGUCA